UAAAGCGAUUCAGCGGGUUACGAUUGACGGAGCGAAGCGACGUCAAAGCGUAUACAAAGUCGAGUCGGUUUAAGGAUACGUUCGUUGGGUAGGGGAGCGUUCUGUAAGCCCGUGAAGGUGGCCUGUGAGGGUUGCUGGAGGUAUCAGAAGUGCGAAUGCUGACAUAAGUAACGAUAAAGCGGGUGAAAAGCCCGCUCGCCGGAAGACCAAGGGUUCCUGUCCAACGUUAAUCGGGGCAGGGUGAGUCGACCCCUAAGGCGAGGCCGAAAGGCGUAGUCGAUGGGAAACGGGUUAAUAUUCCCGUACUUGGUGUUACUGCGAAGGGGGGACGGAGAAGGCUAUGUUGGCCGGGCGACGGUUGUCCCGGUUUAAGCGUGUAGGUGUGUGUUCCAGGUAAAUCCGGUUCACUUUAACACUGAGGCGUGAUGACGAGGCACUACGGUGCUGAAGCAACAAAUGCCCUGCUUCCAGGAAAAGCCUCUAAGCAUCAGGUAACAUCAAAUCGUACCCCAAACCGACACAGGUGGUCAGGUAGAGAAUACCAAGGCGCUUGAGAGAACUCGGGUGAAGGAACUAGGCAAAAUGGUGCCGUAACUUCGGGAGAAGGCACGCUGACACGUAGGUGAAGUGAUUUACUCACGGAGCUGAAGUCAGUCGAAGAUACCAGCUGGCUGCAACUGUUUAUUAAAAACACAGCACUGUGCAAACACGAAAGUGGACGUAUACGGUGUGACGCCUGCCCGGUGCCGGAAGGUUAAUUGAUGGGGUCAGCGCAAGCGAAGCUCCUGAUCGAAGCCCCGGUAAACGGCGGCCGUAACUAUAACGGUCCUAAGGUAGCGAAAUUCCUUGUCGGGUAAGUUCCGACCUGCACGAAUGGCGUAAUGAUGGCCAGGCUGUCUCCACCCGAGACUCAGUGAAAUUGAACUCGCUGUGAAGAUGCAGUGUACCCGCGGCAAGACGGAAAGACCCCGUGAACCUUUACUAUAGCUUGACACUGAACAUUGAGCCUUGAUGUGUAGGAUAGGUGGGAGGCUUUGAAGCGUGGACGCCAGUCUGCGUGGAGCCGACCUUGAAAUACCACCCUUUAAUGUUUGAUGUUCUAACGUGGACCCGUAAUCCGGGUUGCGGACAGUGUCUGGUGGGUAGUUUGACUGGGGCGGUCUCCUCCUAAAGAGUAACGGAGGAGCACGAAGGUUGGCUAAUCCUGGUCGGACAUCAGGAGGUUAGUGCAAUGGCAUAAGCCAGCUUGACUGCGAGCGUGACGGCGCGAGCAGGUGCGAAAGCAGGUCAUAGUGAUCCGGUGGUUCUGAAUGGAAGGGCCAUCGCUCAACGGAUAAAAGGUACUCCGGGGAUAACAGGCUGAUACCGCCCAAGAGUUCAUAUCGACGGCGGUGUUUGGCACCUCGAUGUCGGCUCAUCACAUCCUGGGGCUGAAGUAGGUCCCAAGGGUAUGGCUGUUCGCCAUUUAAAGUGGUACGCGAGCUGGGUUUAGAACGUCGUGAGACAGUUCGGUCCCUAUCUGCCGUGGGCGCUGGAGAACUGAGGGGGGCUGCUCCUAGUACGAGAGGACCGGAGUGGACGCAUCACUGGUGUUCGGGUUGUCAUGCCAAUGGCACUGCCCGGUAGCUAAAUGCGGAAGAGAUAAGUGCUGAAAGCAUCUAAGCACGAAACUUGCCCCGA
rnacentral:rRNA from 1 species